AUGAUGCUAAUGCUAAAGAUGUCGGAAAUUCUCCUGGUGUUGAAAAUACUAAACAAGAAAUCACAAGUGGUGAUGAUGCUAAUGCUAAAGAUGUCGGAAAUUCUCCUGGUGUUGAAAAUACAAAACAAG